rnacentral:rRNA from 1 species
AGUGGGGAAUAUUGCACAAUGGAGGAAACUCUGAUGCAGCGACGCCGCGUGAGCGAAGAAGGCCUUCGGGUCGUAAAGCUCUGUCCUAAGAGAAGAAGAGGUGACGGUAACUUAGGAGGAAGCCCCGGCUAACUACGUGCCAGCAGCCGCGGUAAGACGUAGGGGGCAAGCGUUACCCGGAAUCACUGGGCGUAAAGGGAGCGUAGGCGGUUAUGCAGGUCAUACGUUAAAGGAUCCGGCUCAACCGGAGAGAUGCAUAUGAAACCGUAUAACUUGAGGAUAUCAGAGGAAAAGGGAAUUACCAUUGUAGGGGUGAAAUCCGUAGAGAGUGGUAAGAAUGCCGGUGGCGAAGGCGCUUUUCCGGGGUAUACCUGACGCUGAGGCUCGAAAGCCAGGGGAGCGAACCGGAUUAGAUACCCGGGUAGUCCUGGCCGUAAACGAUGUUCACUAGGUGUAGGAUGUCGACAGGCAAACUGUGCUGAAGCUAACGCGAUAAGUGAACCGCCUGGGGAGUACGUCCGCAAGGAUG